CGAGGUAACGGAAGACGGUUUGAGAAACAUAUGAGGAGUGAGGAUGGAAUUUUUUAACACGUUCCAGAAAGAAUAGUAAAGAAAACUUAAACGGUGGAGAUGAGUACAUGUGACGUACGUUACGGUGUAUUCGUCGUAUAAAAACGAGCAGUCACUCCCAAAAGGAAAAAAAUUAACGAACAAGUUGUUGACGUCGUUCUUUGUGUAGUUACUCUUUUAUAAUCAGGAUAACUUUACUAGUUUACCAUACUUUACUAUAGUAUACUAGUUUACUUAAUGUUGUUCUUUAUAUCAUGUUGAUUCUUUUAUGAGGAACUAACUUUACCAGUUUACCUCAUAAUUGAAUUGACUUUUAUAAGUCAAUUGAAUUUGACUUUUAUAAGUCAAUUGAAUUUUGACUUUUAUAAGACGACACAUCCUACACCCACUCCUUUCGCCUGUACGAGCUACCUGGCUGUUCCACCACUUCCUACUCGAACAAGUGACACAUACUAGGUAGGUACGGGGAAGACAAAACGACAAACAGUUGUGUGUAACAUGACAUACGAAUGUACGACAGUUACGAGUCACUCCAGACAAAGUUGCGAAUCGGUGAUCACAGUACAAAGACAGAUGACAGAAAGCACAAUUACGCAAAGUGUGACUUACAAAAACUGACAAAUUAAACCAUGUCCGAGUACAAUGGUUUUACCUCAUGCCAUGUUUGAUUUUACUAGUAACGAAAUGAGAUGAGGAUUAGGUAAAAUAAGACAUAAAACUAGUAAAGUGUAACUCAUAAACUCAACUGUCACUGUAGUAGAAAUAUCCCUUCUACUCCUUCGAGUGGCUGACGUAGAAGCAACCGUAGUUACGGGAGCACGUACAGCUACAGUAGAAGUGGUCCUAGUUACGAGAGCACGUACAGCUAUAGUAGCUAUAGUAGAAGUAGCCCUGGCUGAGGAGGUCCAACAACACAGCACGACCUCUACGACGGACGAAGCUCGACAACGACAACGACGGAUGAAGUUCGGGAGGUCCAUGAGACGUGACGGUUAAGGUAUAAGUAGACUCGUGCUAAAGUCAGAACAUACGGACGAUCUCAAGAACAUGAGUCUUUGAAACAGAACUAACUAUGAGACGGUAGUUAAAAAAUGACAGAUGUCAUGGACAUGUGACUUUGACAGAACUAACUAUGUCAUGAGACGGUCGUUUGAAACAGACCUCAUAAAACUCGAAAAGGAAAAGUUUGAAAAUGAGGUCCUCCGCUAGACCUGGUUCACCCCUCCGAUAGACGUCGUCAUGGACCUCGACGUACCCUCCCGCGCCGCUAGACCUGGACCCCGACGGCUAGACUUCGACAUGGGGGAGGCCGCUCGUCAUGGAGCUAGACUUCGUCAUGAGAGACCUCGACCGCUCCGGAAUCCUCCCCCUGUUGCUAGACGUCGUCGUGGGGGAGGCUGCUCCGCUCAACCACUCCGGGGGAGGUCGCUGUCCCCCGACCUAACCGCGUCCGCUGUCCCCCACCGGGACCCUCUCCCCGCCGGGACCCUACCCCCCGCUGGGACCGCCGUCCUUCGUUCGUCGUCGCCGCUGGCCCUACCUCUCCUAGACGAGCCGCUCCUUCUACUGCCGUUAUCGCUAAGUUUAAUCCCCGUGAAGACAGGAAAGGAGGGAAAAGUGGACCAGCCCUGCAAAAGAUUUUGCAGUAUAUAAAG
rnacentral:rRNA from 1 species